rnacentral:rRNA from 1 species
AUGAUGGCUUCCGCCCCCGCACCCAAUCCCCGCCUCGGCCGCGAGGCCGUGGUCCGCGCGGUGGGCGCGCUUCUCCGGUGGCUCAAGCACCACCCCUCCCCGGCGCCGGAGCCCAUCUACCUCCUCGUCACCUUGAAGACCGCCCCCGUCCGCCGGUUCGAGCACCAUCUCAGCCUUCCACUCUCCCCAUUCCCCUCCAUCUUCCUCGUCGCCGACCGCCUCCCGGACGAGCUCCCCGACGACAUCGAGACGCUCCCCUCCUCCGCGCUCCGCUCCCUCCCCGCCGUCGCGCGCCGCGGCCUGGUCCUCGUCGACAGCCGGCUCAAGAUCCCCAGCAGCGGCAAGGGCGCCAAGGGCCGCGGCAGGAUCGUGCCCGUCGACCUCGGCGACCCGGCGUGGGCCGAGUCCGCGAGGGAGGCGGCGCGCCGCGUCGAGCUCCGCGUGGAGGCCGGCACGUGCCGCGCCGUGCGGGUGGGGCACGCGGCGAUGGCGCCGGAAGAGGCGGUGGAGAACGUGGUGGCCGCGCUGGAGGCGGCCGCCGCGUGCGUGCCCAGGAAGUGGAGGAACGUGCGGGCGCUGCACCUGAAGGCACCCGAGUCGAUCGCGCUGCCUCUCUACUCGGCGCCGGGCACCGGCGGCAAUGACGAUUCGAAGGACGCGGAGCGUCAGGCCGCUACUGCGGUGGAGCAGGGGAGGGUAAAGAGGGGAAGGAAAGAGUAG